rnacentral:lncRNA from 1 species
UAAAAACUAAAUUUGGCAUGGUUUACCACAAUCACAAUUAGAAUUAGGUUAUGAGGUGUUGUAAAAUAUCGACUAUUUAGUGGGCUCGUUGCUAUGUGGAGAGAAUAAGAGAGCAUUUAUGAAUAGUAUUAAUAUACCAAUUACGACUUCCUAUGCUUAAUGAACUGUACAAGAGUAGAAAUGACAUUUACAACUUGUUCGGUUAGAUUUUAACGGCACGUUAACAGUAGGGGAAUUCAUGACUCAUGAGGUUUUUUUGAGUUUAUAAAGGCAUUCAUGAUAUUUUCAGUUU